GCCGGUUGCUGCUAUAACCCUGGGUCGAUACGUGGGAAGAGCUGGGAGUCCCAGGCAAGCAGGCCGUGCUACAGACAAGACCUGCAGAAUAUCCAGAUCUUCACAGCCUGCAGGUCCAAGAUAAGACUUCAACAGCAUCUCCAGUCAGGGAAGGUAAGUAUUGGAUGUGGAAGGGAGAGAUUGUGAGACUGGCUGGGAAACUGUCAUGGAACUGAAGAUCACAUGCCUUCAGCAGCAGCCCAGCAGUACAACAGCAGCCAGUAGUAAGGAAGCAGCUUUCCCAAAUGUAAUUCCUUCAAGAGUCAUGGCUCCCGGAUUUUGGACACAUUUUGAAAAUUAACCCAUUUAAAGUAUCUUGGUUCAAAAAUUGAUACACCAUUUUGCCCAAUUGAGUUUCUGUAAUAUAUAGAUGAUAAAUUCUAAAACCUCAUUGACUUUAACAGAGUUAAAUUUGAUGCACAUAUAGUCAACUAAGAAAUGUGUUAUGCUUUUUAAAAAUUCCUGUUGGGCCCAAAUAAAUGUUGCUUGAUACAAAA